CCCAAAAGUUCGAAUGGAGAGAUUCAUCGUCAGCGAUCCUGGCAAUUGUGCGGUUCGCGAUGCCGCGGGUACUUCGGUCCCGCGGCACGCGUCCGUAUGAUUUAUUUGCCGGGUGUCGUCGUCGUGCACUUCUCCCCUAGUAGGACGUCGCGACCCGUUGGGUGUCGGUCUACGACCCGGGUGGGCGCCUGUCAUGUGUUACGCUUCACGGCUUCAUGUGGCAGACCCCCGGUUGUCUGACCAGCUGCCCGGCGGUACUCGCACGGUAUUGAGUCGCAAAUUGAAUUUGCGUCCGGCCCGCCGCAAGCGAGGCCAGUGCUUCCCGGAUGUACGGACUUAGCGCCGUCGCCGGGCCUGGCCAGCUGUUGGCCGGCGGUGUCCUGGGACUGGCUCUAAAAAUACCGAUCGGCGACGCUACUGCUUUGGGUACUUUCAGGACCCGUCUUGAAACACGGACCAAGGAGUCUAACAUGUGCGCGAGUCAUUGGGUAUCUGAUAAGCCUAAAGGCGCAAUGAAAGUGAAGGUAGGCCUUGCGCCAACCGAGGGAGGAUGGGCCGCGUCAYGAUGCGGUCCCGCACUCCCGGGGCGUCUCKUUYUCAUUGCGAGAAGAGGCGCACCC
rnacentral:rRNA from 1 species